CGCAUGAUUGAACAGCGAACAUCACGACCGCAAUUGUCUAUCUGAUUCUGGAUUAGUUGUGCGGUCUUUUAGACACAGAAUGUUUUAAACAGCACAUGUCUGAAGACCAGGAGAAGGCGCAAUUAACAGAGGCAGUGCGGGGACUAUAAGCGCAGCUCAGAAGAGUAAUACUGAAGUGUGCUUGAACGUGCUUGAUGUGUUUCUGAUACUGCGGGUGGAAAGUUGGGUGUCAAUGACCAGCGAAUGUACAGCGAGGAAUAUGGUGUUGUUUUUAUAUGAGCCAUGAUUCAAUGCUUUUUCCUCUUCCUUGUAAGAUUAGCGGAAGCCAGCAGUAACGUACAGUAGUGUUUUUCUCUUCAUCUGCAGCGGCAGUCGGUUUUGUGACAAUCGGCAAUCCGCUUCCCGGUGUGUUUCACUAACGCAAAAACAUCUGAGCAUCUUCUCAGCGGCGUUGGACUAUUUAUUUACGGAGCAGGUAGAUCAGAGAGAGACUGAUUUCUAAAGAUGACGGGUAAAUCAGUCAAAGACAUUGAUCGCUAUCAGGCUGUUCUCACGUCGCUUCUGGCGUUAGAGGAAAACAAGUUCUGCGCUGAUUGUCACGCCAAAGGUCCCAGAUGGGCAUCCUGGAAUCUUGGAAUCUUCAUUUGUAUCCGCUGUGCAGGAAUCCAUCGGAAUCUUGGCGUGCACAUAUCACGAGUUAAAUCCAUAAACCUGGACCAGUGGACUCAUGAGCAGAUACAGUCUGUUCAGGAGAUGGGGAAUGCCAAAGCUCGGCGACUAUAUGAGGCCUUUUUACCAGAGUGCUUCCAGCGCCCAGAGACAGACCAAGCUUCUGAGAUUUUUAUCCGUGACAAAUAUGAUAAGAAGAAAUAUAUGGAUAAAUGCAUUGACAUCCAGUCCUUCAGGAAAGAAAAGAGUGAGACAGUAACAAAAGAGGCUCCUGUUGUUUUUGAAAAGAUGAAGCUGAAAAAAGACGAGUCACAACAAUUCAAAAACAGUCCAAAGCAGUCACAGUCUGUUAAUGACUUACUAGGACUAGAUGCCCCUGCUCCUAAAGCUCCCGUGUCCAAUGGCAAACCAAGCACUGAACUCAGUCCUGCCCUCGACCUCUUCAGCUCUCUGCCUGCCACCGUCAGCAGCUCAAACUCCUCCAGGAGCACGCCUAGCUCAGGGUCCAUGCCCACUGGACGGGUAGCAGCAUCAAUGCCCGAAAACCUCAGCCUGUUCCUGGAUCCCCCCUCCAAAAGUGAGGACAGCGGAAAAAAGCUGUCUAAGGACUCAAUCUUGUCCCUGUACGGCAGUACAGCACCACAAACAAACAUGGCUGCUCAUGCUGGUAUGUAUAUGGGAGCAACCCAGAUGGGCUAUGUCCCUGCUGCAGGGUACGGCCAAUACCAGGCCCUGGGUGCCCAGCAGGGCAUGAUGGGGCCUAUGAUGGCACCACAGAUGAACAUACUGGGACAUACUGCUCCUCCGUACAUGGCAGGGGUGCAGGGGGGCAUAAUGGGAAUGCAGAAUGGGAUGAUGGGAAACAUGGCAGCAGUUCCUCAGCAGGCAUAUGGAGCACAGCAGGCCCAACAGCUGCAGUGGAACAUCAGCCAGAUGACUCAACACAUGGCAGGAAUGAAUUUCUAUGGUGCCAAUAACAUGAUGGGAUACGGGCAGCCCAUGGGUGGGGCGGCUGCUCCCGGUUCAAAUCCAAUGCUCGGGUCACACGUGUGGAAGUGAUAUAUGUCAUAGAGAGAGAGUGGGACCGCGUGUCUGAAUUGGUUGGCGCCACGACUGACUGACAGCUGAAGGGGAACAGAUUUUAGGAGCAAUCACUUUGGAGAGUCGAGUAGAUGAUCGCAACCGAAGCAAAGCCUCUACCUCCCUCAUUCUCAGAGCCAGAUUCUCAUGCUUGCCUUCAAACAGUCACAUACUCAGAGAGAGAAAAGAAGUGUGCGUAUGCACUUCUCAGCUGAAUGUUACACAUUUCACAGCUUUGAUGUUCCCAAAUUAUGCUAAUUUGCUACAUAUGCUUGAAGAUUUGGUUUUCUGUUCUCUCUUUGAUCAGUGUUAAGAUGUGAUCACAUUUACCGUUUUUGGGUGAAUUUUUAUGGGCAAAAUCCGGUUAGGAAUCCACACAAUCUUGAAUUUUGCGUGAGGGCGAAUGAUUUUGCUUGUGAAUUUGCCAUGUUGACCAACAGAAACCUGCUUGGUAUGAAAGUGACUUUUGUGUGAGCUGUGCUUCAUACUUCACUGUUGACAAUAUACAAUUAACCUUUUUGGUCCACAGUGUUUCGCCAAAAUUAUGCUAAUGCGACAGCAUCUUUGGUUUCAGUUAACAAAGCUCGCUUCAUUUCAGAAACAAUUUAUCAUAUAGAUAUGUGUGUAACAAAGUCUAUACAGUAUAUCUCAUCAUAAGCAUGUUUGCACUGCAGUCAUAAAUGAACAGUUGAAGCCAUUUUAGUUACCAUUUUUGUUAAUAAGGAUCUUAAACUUUGAUACUGCUGAGGAAAAUGUCCAUUUUGUGUCUCUGCUAUCAGGUUCUGCAGUGAUACUCUUGUAUUGUCGUCUUUCUAACGCACAGGGUACAACUAAGCCACUUUGACUUUGCUUUCUGUCACACUCGCUCUCAACUCAGGAGAAAUAAAGACUUGGGAGGAUAAGGGUUCUCACAUCCAUCUCAUAGCAGGACAUUUACAUUCAGCCAAAGAUUUAUUAACGCUCAGCAGUCGGCAUAGGUCUUUGGAAUGAUACGUUCUAGUUGGAUCCAUGCUGCUGUUUGUCGUUUCAGAGCACUGCGGUUUGACCUCAAGAGUGUAAUAGCACCAUUGAUUGUAUUGUGCACUGCUUUUCUCCUCAUUACUGAGUGCAGGGUCACUACUGGCAAAGAGAACAAAAUUUUGUGACACUGAGGCUGCAGUUUGGACUGAGACCAAAUGAAUGUUUCACUCUUGACUGCUGCCUGGAGAGCAGAAUUUGCCAUGGCCACUGUGUGAAGUUCGUUCAAAGCAGUCAGCUUGGGGUUUUAUUGACUUUGCUCGCUGUUUGUUUGAGCCUAACGUCUACUUCUAGUGUAACCAAAUGCAGUGAGGUUCACUCUUGAUCUUAUGGACCCCAUUAAAACAUGCUGGAAAAAAAAAAAACACCCUAAGCUGGUUUGCUGUUCUGGUUUAGCCAUCACCUGCUUGGCCUGGCUGGAAUACCAACAAGACCAGUUUAAACAAAGUAGAUCAGCUUGAACAAGACCAGAAAUCUAUCUCAGACUGGUUUAGGAUGUUUUGUUUAAUUAUUAUGUUUUUUGUUCAGGGUUAAGCAGUUGUACAUGCAUUAAACAUGUCUGUGCUUUUGUGUUUAUUUUCAGGUGAUGUUUUUAUCUUUCAUAGCCAUAGAGACUCUUAAAAUGUUCUGCCCAAGAAGCUGAUUUUUUUUUUUCUUCCCUCAAUGUAUGACCGUGUAUAUGACCAUGAUUUGUAAAGGAGUUCAUUGCACUAUAGUUCUCUACAUUUUACAAUAUUUGGUUGCUGUGUUUUUCACUGUUGCCCUGAAUGUGAAGAAUUGUUUGCUAAUAUUAUUACGUAUGCUUAGGGGAUCAACUCACAAUUCGAUUCGAUUCACAAUUUUUUUU